rnacentral:rRNA from 1 species
CCCAAUGAUAUCUCUAGAAGGCAUCUGAAAGAGAUUAAAGAUUUAUCGGUGAUGGAUGGGGAUGCGUCUGAUUAGCUUGUUGGCGGGGUAACGGCCCACCAAGGCAACGAUCAGUAGGGGUUCUGAGAGGAAGGUCCCCCACAUUGGAACUGAGACACGGUCCAAACUCCUACGGGAGGCAGCAGUGAGGAAUAUUGGUCAAUGGACGAGAGUCUGAACCAGCCAAGUAGCGUGCAGGAUGACGGCCCUAUGGGUUGUAAACUGCUUUUAUAAGGGAAUAAAGUGAGUCUCGUGAGACUUUUUGCAUGUACCUUAUGAAUAAGGACCGGCUAAUUCCGUGCCAGCAGCCGCGGUAAUACGGAAGGUCCGGGCGUUAUCCGGAUUUAUUGGGUUUAAAGGGAGCGUAGGCCGGAGAUUAAGCGUGUUGUGAAAUGUAGAUGCUCAACAUCUGAACUGCAGCGCGAACUGGUUUCCUUGAGUACGCACAAAGUGGGCGGAAUUCGUGGUGUAGCGGUGAAAUGCUUAGAUAUCACGAAGAACUCCGAUUGCGAAGGCAGCUCACUGGAGCGCAACUGACGCCGAAGCUCGAAAGUGCGGGUAUCGAACAGGAUUAGAUACCCUGGUAGUCCGCACGGU